GAUGAAGAACGCAGCGAAAUGCGAUAAGUAAUGUGAAUUGCAGAAUUCAGUGAAUCAUCGAAUCUUUGAACGCAUCUUGCGCUCCUUGGUAUUCUGAGGAGCAUGCCUGUUUGAGUGUCAUUGUACUCUCACACUCCCGAUCUUUGCAUUGGGAGCAGUGGACUUGGGUUUGCUGCUUCACCGUCGCUUACCUCAAAUAGGUUAGUGCAACUCUUGGUUGGACAUAGUACGGCGUGAUAAGUGUUCUUCGCCGGUGCCUCGCAAAGAGGGUGGCCGAUCGGGAUGUUGUGCUCCAAACCGUCUUCGGACAAUCUCUGACGACUUGACCUCAAAUCGAGUAAGACUACCCGCUGAACUUAAGCAUAUCAAUAAGCGGAGGA
rnacentral:misc_RNA from 1 species